AGUGAACGCUGGCGGUAGGCCUAACACAUGCAAGUCGAACGGCAGCACAGUAAGAGCUUGCUCUUACGGGUGGCGAGUGGCGGACGGGUGAGGAAUACAUCGGAAUCUACUUUUUCGUGGGGGAUAACGUAGGGAAACUUACGCUAAUACCGCAUACGACCUACGGGUGAAAGCAGGGGAUCUUCGGACCUUGCGCGAUUGAAUGAGCCGAUGUGGGAUUAGCUAGUUGGCGGGGUAAAGGCCCACCAAGGCGACGAUCCGUAGCUGGUCUGAGAGGAUGAUCAGCCACACUGGAACUGAGACACGGUCCAGACUCCUGCGGGAGGCAGCAGUGGGGAAUAUUGGACAAAGGGCGCAAGCCUGAUCCAGCCAUACCGCGUGGGUGAAGAAGGCCUUCGGGUUGUAAAGCCCUUUUGUUGGGAAAGAAAAGCAGCAGGUUAAUACCCCGCUGUUCUGACGGUACCCAAAGAAUAAGCACCGGCUAACUUCGUG
rnacentral:rRNA from 1 species